UAAUGCCUAGGAAUCUGCCUGGUAGUGGGGGACAACGUUUCGAAAGGAACGCUAAUACCGCAUACGUCCUACGGGAGAAAGCAGGGGACCUUCGGGCCUUGCGCUAUCAGAUGAGCCUAGGUCGGAUUAGCUAGUUGGUGGGGUAAUGGCUCACCAAGGCGACGAUCCGUAACUGGUCUGAGAGGAUGAUCAGUCACACUGGAACUGAGACACGGUCCAGACUCCUACGGGAGGCAGCAGUGGGGAAUAUUGGACAAUGGGCGAAAGCCUGAUCCAGCCAUGCCGCGUGUGUGAAGAAGGUCUUCGGAUUGUAAAGCACUUUAAGUUGGGAGGAAGGGCAGUAAGCUAAUACCUUGCUGUUUUGACGUUACCGACAGAAUAAGCACCGGCUAACUCUGUGCCAGCAGCCGCGGUAAUACAGAGGGUGCAAGCGUUAAUCGGAAUUACUGGGCGUA
rnacentral:rRNA from 1 species